GUGGUUAUGGCUCAGUGGUACAGCACUGCCUGGCAUGUGUGAGGCACUGGGUUCGAUUCUCAGCACCACA
rnacentral:tRNA from 1 species